UAGCGUAUAUUAAAGUUGUUGCAGUUAAAACGCUCGUAGUCGGAUUUCGGGGCGGUUUUGCCGGUCUGCCGUUGGGUAUGCACUGGUGCGAGCGUCCUUCCUUCCGGAGACGGCGCCUGCUCUUAACUGAGUGGGUGUCGGAGACGGAUCGUUUACUUUGAAAAAAUCAGAGUGUUUCAAGCAGGCAGCUCGCUUUUGCAUGGAUUAGCAUGGGAUAAUGAAAUAGGACUUUGGUGCUAUUUUGUUGGUUUCGAACACCGAAGUAAUGAUUAACAGGGACAGUCAGGGGCACUCGUAUUCCGCCGAGAGAGGUGAAAUUCUCAGACCAGCGGAAGACGCACCACUGCGAAAGCAUUUG
rnacentral:rRNA from 1 species